rnacentral:rRNA from 1 species
AUACGGAGGACGCGAGCGUUAUCCGGAUUCAUUGGGUUUAAAGGGUGCGCAGGCGGCCGUGCAAGUCAGCGGUGAAAGCCCGGGGCUCAACCCCGGAAGUGCCGUUGAUACUGCAUGGCUGGAAUGCGGUCGAGGCGGGCGGAACGUGGCGUGUAGCGGGGAAAUGCGUAGAUUUGCCACAGAAAGCCGAUAGCGGAGGCAGCUCGCCAGGCCUGCAUUGACGCUCGGGCACGAAAGCGUGGGGAUCGAACAGGAUUAGAUACCCUGGUAGUCCACGCCGUAAACGAUGGGCGCUCGUCGUCGGCGGCAGACAGUCGGCGGCCAAGCGAAAGCGAUAAGCGCCCCACCUGGGGAGUACGACCGCAAGGUUGAAACUCAAAGGAAUUGACGGGG